rnacentral:rRNA from 1 species
UUUCAUGGAGAGUUUGAUCCUGGCUCAGGACGAACGCUGGCGGCGUGCCUAAUACAUGCAAGUCGAGCGAAUCUUGAGGUGCUUGCACCUCUUGGUUAGCGGCGGACGGGUGAGUAACACGUGGGCAACCUGCCUGUAAGACUGGGAUAACAUCGGGAAACCGAUGCUAAUACCGGAUAAUCCUUUUCCUCUCAUGAGGGAAAGCUGAAAGUCGGCUUCUCGCUGACACUUACAGAUGGGCCCGCGGCGCAUUAGCUAGUUGGUGAGGU